AGCGAACGUUUGCGGCGGGCCUAACACAUGCAAGUCGAACGAGAUCUCGGGCUUCGGUCCGGGUGAAAGUGGCGCACGGGUGCGUAACACGUGGGUAAUCAACCCUCUGGGAUCGGGACAACCCGGGGGAAACUCGGGCUAAUACCGGAUACGUCGUCGGAGCUCUAGGGCUCUGACGGGAAAGGCCUGCAAGGGCUACCAGAGGACGAGCUCGCGGCCCAUCAGCUAGUUGGUGAGGUAAUGGCUCACCAAGGCGAAGACGGGUAGCUGGUCUGAGAGGAUGAUCAGCCACACUGGAACUGAGACACGGUCCAGACUCCUACGGGAGGCAGCAGUGAGGAAUAUUGCGCAAUGGGCGAAAGCCUGACGCAGCGACGCCGCGUGAGCGAUGAAGGCCUCGGUCGUAAGACUCUGUGGGAGAGAAGAAUAAAGACCUGUGAAGAGCAGGACCUUGACGGUAGUCUCCUUAGCAAGCACCGGCUAACUCCGUACG
rnacentral:rRNA from 1 species